CAAUGAAGGGGUCACGCUCUAAAAUAUCAAGAGUGCAAAACAGAUACAUCCACCCCACACUAGUGUGACUAUAAACAGAGCAAGUUUUUACAAAUGGGAAAUAAUCAAGAAAAUCAAGAAUUCAGCCGCUCUGCAGGAAUAUGCACUAUGCAACAGCAAGAAGUUUACACACGCACUCAAAUGAAUUGGUGUGGCUGUAACAAUUAUGGUAACAUUGAGCUUUUAAAGACUUUAAAAAGAGGUUGAAAUCAGAUCUGAUUCUGGCCCAGAUUAAUUGAUGUGUAACCCGGGUAACCUAAGAAAAGGAAAACAAAUUCUAGAAGAAAAAGAGAUUCAUCCAAUCACUGAUUCGUGCUGCAAUGAGAGACACCCCUAAGAGCCAAUAGUAGCGGCUCAUUCAUAAGUCCCGCCCACUUGUCGCGCCGGCGCUGCUUUCAGCGUGAGCAGAUGAGAGCGAGUCAGAGCAGAUCAGCACAGACGGACCAGACAGUUUCCCCAGAAAAUCCAUUGAUCUAACUGGAAAUGUGAAUGAGUGCACUGAAAGUGGAGCUUUUGAAGUCGACGCGUCAGCCUAAAGCGAUGUCGUCGGAGACAGAGAAGAGAGAGAGACGGAGCAGAUCCCAGAGUGUUGAAGCACUGUGAGUAAUCUUCCUUGUGUGAAUAAAGAUAUGAUUCUCUUCUGCUUUAGGGAGUGAAAUUCCAGAUAUUAAUAAGAAUAUAAUGUAAAUGACAUGUUGAAGUUUCUAAAAUGAUUAAUUUCUGAGCCGUUUUGAGUAGGCCGCGUGCACAAAGCGCGAGCUGAACUGAUUAGCACAUGGGCUAAAGCUAACACGAGUAAACGUGAUAAUUGUGUCAUGAAAUGAGAUAAAGAGUUAUAUAUUAGUGUCGGUGUGUUUAAUAACUGCUUAUUAAUGUUUAAUUUGAUUGUGUCAAUUUGAGAUAUUCAUAUGAUUUAUGGAAAUGUCUGAAUCAAAAGUUAAUUGUUGUGUUUUGCAAGGCCUUACUUUCUUUCCAUGGGUGUGAACGUGAUAAUUAUAGUUUAUUCUGGUCAAUAAACCGAUAUAAAACUUUCACUUAACACAUCUCCUUUGAGAUCUGCCUCCCUCCCCUUCAGGUACAGUCAUUUAUGUUCAUCUGUUUACAUUUAUUGAGGUAAGAAGACAAAUAUCUAAGAAAAUGAAUGCGUAUCAUUUCCAUCACUUGUUUCUUGUUUCUUGACAGACCGAAAGGAAAAGGACAGUGAUUCCCAAACCACAGAGAAAUGAAUGGCUGUUGAUGAGUAUCAAGCACAACCUCAACAGAGACUCAGAAGAGGCUGAAAAAAAUGGAGGAAAACGAAAAAUUGAGAAAUGACAACAAAAAAAAGCUACCAAAUCUGUCAAAUGAAGUGAAGAUGGCCCUGAAGUCUCUGUUUGUCAGCAUCAGUCACAUAACUUAGAAGAUGGGACAGGAUUUGCCACAGAGUAAUUACAGAGCCCUUCCAACAGAACAGGAGCAACGUUGCAGAAAGUGUCCUCAUGUGGUGCCUGCCAGCAUUGGUACAGCAAUUAAUGCCAAACUUACUGAAAUUAGAGGGAAGAAUACACAAAAACAUCUGAAAACCUUAAUGGUCUUUGAUGAUUGAUAGCCGUGACAGUGUGUUCAAGGUAUUUUGUUGUUGUUGUUGGAGUGUGUGUGUGUGUGUGUGUGUGUGUGUUUUGCCUUCGCAAAGUUCAGUUUGAUAUCAAAUUGUAAUUUUAAAUUACUCUUGUGGAGUAUAAUUUGAUUGUCUUGUUGAUUGUGUUGAAAUAAAAGUAUUUCUAAUGUAAA